AGCGGUAGCAGCAGCGGCGGCGUGUUUCGAGGCGGCGGCGGCGAAGAAGGCAUCCAGCAGCGAGGGAGGCGAGUCAAAGCCGAAACCAUGAAGUCAAGGAGUACAAAAACCACAAAAACUGGAUUUUUAUAACAAACAAACCCGAAAUUAAUCGAGAAAUCCCAGAAGAAAGGGAAAUUAGUCGCUGCCACCAACAUAUUUUAUAGAAUCGUUAUUACUAUUAUCAUCUUCACCAUUAAUAUCGAUUAUUCAUAGCAAAUAAGAAAUUAUUAUUAUUUCCUCCUCUGGCUUUCUUUUAAAUCGUUUUUUUUACCGCCUCCGCACUUUUAUUUGGGCAGAAAAAAACCGAAGAAAAAGAGUAGCGAGACUCCGUCGUCGUGUGUGUGUCCGUGUGUGUGUGUAUAUAGCGGUGUUAUGAUUGUAUAAUAUAUAUAUAUAUAUAUAUAUAUAUAUAUAUAUAUAUGUAUGUAUAUGGUGUGUGUUUGUGUAAAAAGUGAAGAAAUCACAGCUCGAUCGGUGUUUGUGUGUGAAUGGUGUUAAAUAAUAAUUAGAAUAAUUUUGAUGUGAGAAGGAUCGAGUGGACAUUUUUAAAUGCGGUGAAUUUGGUGAAGGAUUUUCGGGAGGAGAGAGAUCGGGGAUAAUGUAAGAAUUAGAACAAUUAGAAGAAUAAUAAUCUACGUAAGUAGUGAUAACAGACAAUCUAUAAAUAUAUGAUAUGUAAGAGAGAGAGAGAGAGAAGGAAGAAGAAGACACCCGGGCUGGAUUAAUGAUGUAGUAAUUAAUUAAUUAACAAUAAUAAUAAUAAUAGUAAUAAUCAUCCUUAUAUAAUAUGUGGUGAGCGAAUUGAGGGGGGGAGCAAAGGAAAAGGAACCCCCUCUGAAAAGAAAAGUUCCCCUUUACCAAUUGCAUUAGAAAUAAGAAUCGUAAGCGAAAAGAAAAUCUAAGAAAUUGAAUGAAAAUCUAAAAGUAAAAAAUGGAAGAACGUCAAGAAAUGGUUAAGGAAGCGAGUCUGGAGAAAACGGAUGAAGAAGCGUUGCAAGCAAUGUCCAUUAAGCUGGUGUCCAGCGGCAGUUACAAUGUGCGGGCAUCCGAAAUGGCCCAUGAUCGGCAGCUGAAAACCAUCACCUGUUUGGUACACUUUCUGGACGAUACAGAGGAAUAUUUCGAGAUUGAUAAACGGAGUAAAGCUCAGGCAUUGCUUGAGAAAGUCUAUGAUCAUCUUGAACUCAUUGAAAAAGACUACUUUGGUCUUCAGUUCUUAGAAGUUGCACCAACACCUGAAGGAAUGAGAUGGGUUGAUCCUUUGAAAACAGUCAAGAAACAAUGCAGAGGUCCAACAUACGAGUUUUAUUUUCGAGUGAAAUUCUAUGUGUCUGACCCCAGCAAACUGGGUGAAGAAUAUACAAGAUACCAUUUCUUCCUCCAAUUAAAGAAGGACCUUUUAGAAGGUCGGCUGGUCUGUCCUCAUUCUACCUCGGCACUAUUAUCAAGUUAUGCAAUCCAGUCUGAAUUAGGUGACUAUAAUCCUGAAGAUCACAAAGGAAAUUACCUGUCUGAGUUCCGGUUUAUUCCCAGCCAAACCGUGGAGUUUGAACGACAAGUUAUAGAAUAUCACAAACAACACAGAGGUCAAACUCCAGCUGAGGCUGAGUAUUGUUUCUUAGAACGAGCAAAACGCCUGGAGAUGUAUGGAGUUGAUUUACACAAUGCCAGGGAUCAAAGCAAUCUCGAGAUACAACUUGGAGUUACUUCAGCAGGUCUUGUGGUAUUUCAGAACUUUAUAAAAAUCAACACAUUCUCAUGGGAUGAUGACAAAUAUGAUCAGGAAGACCGUGCAGACUACUACUACCCUGGACUUAGUAGGACUAGUGAGCAAACCGAUAGGGCAAAAAUAGUGAAGAUAUCCUUUAAACGAAAACAGUUUUUCAUUCAGUUACGUCGAGAAGUGAAUGAUACUGUUGAAAAUUUGAUUGGUUUCAAUAUGGUCAGUUACCGCUCUUGCAAGAAUCUGUGGAAGUCCUGUGUUGAACACCACACGUUUUUCCGUCUUCAUGCACCAAACCCACCAUCAAAGAAAAUUUUUUCAUUAGGUUCUAAAUUUCGAUACAGUGGCAAAACAGAAUAUCAAACUCUAGAAGAAAGUAAGCGGCGAGCCAAAAUUGAAAGGUCUUUCUCAAGAACUGAUGGGAUGCCGAAAAGUCCUUCCGAAAUCUUCAGGUCACCUAGCAAGCGGUACGCUCGGCGAACCGUUGGUGGUGUUACGAGAAGUACAAUAUCAGAGGAACGUAAUACCAUCGAUGGUUGUCGGAACCUACCCAAGUCUCAUACCUUUGCAGCAGGCUCCUCAAACUCUUACCAAAAUUUUAAUCGUUGUGAUGGAUCUUUAAGGUCAACGUUACCAUGUGAUUAUAAAUCCAGGAUGACCUGGGCUGAUAGUAACAAAUCAGAAAAAUCAGAUGAUGAUGGUGGUUUCUUAUCUCGGGGGCCAUCAACUAGGACUGCUGGAACUUACGCUGCUGAUCAAGAUACAGUCCCUGAAUCUCUAUAUGAUCUUCCUGCAUACAAUGAUGGUUACAUGGCAGAUGCAAUACAAUUGCUCUUGUUCAGCAUUAAUUCCCUGAAGGCCAAAGCCUUCCUGAAGUCAAAUGGCAAUGGUUAUACUGACAGUCAAGGAUUAGUUACCAUCAAAAUGAAACCGGAUGAACAAGGGAAAUUUGGGUUUAAUGUGAAGGGUGGAUCUGACCAGUGUAUGCCCAUCAUAGUUUCUCGGGUGGCACCCAAUACCCCAGCAGAUUUAUGUAUACCUCGGCUAAACGAGGGCGACCAAGUGUUAUUUAUAAAUGGCCGUGAUGUUUCUCAACACACUCAUGAACAGGUUGUGAUGUUUAUCAAAGCGUCUCGGGAGACACAUUCAGGAGAAUUAGCUCUUAUUAUUAGACCUAAUGUUUAUGUUAGUGAAGAUAAUGCUGAAGAACCAGACUUGAUGUAUAUACCUGAGACACACCAAAUAGCAAGUACCAUGUCUGGGGCCAACACUCUCCAGGCCUCCAUGAUGCUCCUGCAGGAGAGUCUGGAGAGUGGGGCUGCCAUGGCACAGUUUGAACAACUUUAUAGAAAAAAGCAUGGCCUGACAAUGAAUGCAGCAAGGUUACCCGCCAACAUCUCAAAGAACAGAUACAGAGAUGUGUCACCCUAUGACCAGACCCGAGUGAUAUUAAAAGGUAGUCAAAAUGGGGACUAUAUAAAUGCCAACUUUGUAAAUAUGGAAAUUCCCGGAUCUGGCAUCAUCAAUCGAUAUAUUGCCGCUCAAGGUCCAUUACCUAACACAUGUGCUGACUUUUGGCAGAUGGUUUGGGAACAACAUUGUACAUUGGUUGUUAUGUUAACUACAAAAGUAGAAAGGGGACGUGUGAAAUGCCACCAAUACUGGCCGGACUUAUACGAAACAACUGACUUUGGCAUUUUACAGAUCACUUGUGUCAAAGAAGAAGAAACUAUAUCAUUUGCUUUCAGAGAAUUCACAUUAACACAUGUAGAGACUAACCAAGAGAGACAUAUAAAACAUAUGCAGUACAUUGCUUGGCCAGAUCAUGGUGUACCUGAUGAUCCGGCUGACUUUUUAGAUUUUGUGAUCCGGGUUCGGAAGAAUAGGAUUGGAAUGGUUGAGCCUACUGUGGUGCAUUGCAGCGCUGGAAUUGGUCGGACAGGAGUUCUAAUUACGAUGGAAACGGCUAUGUGCUUAGUGGAAGCCAAUCAAACUGUAUUUCCUCUUGCAAUUGUACGCCAGAUGAGAGAUCAGCGAGCAAUGCUUAUACAGACAGCUAGUCAGUACAAAUUUGUCUGUGAAGCCAUCCUGCGAGUAUACCAUGGGAGAUAAAUCUAAGGGAUUUGCCCUUUUGGAUCAUCCACCUGGUUUAUAUAUAUAGAUAUAAAAAAUACAAAAAUAAACAAACCUAUAACUGCUGAGAAUGGUUCAACAAUUGGGAAGAGACAGUCGUCCAACCCCUUGAUGAUUAUCAACGAUGACCUGAUGAUAUCUCUGCUGACUGCUCUCAUGGACCUAGGACAGGGCUGGCCACAGAUAAUGAAGAAAUGAAGCUUUUGGUGCUUCCAUUUGUUAGACUGACUAACAUGAAGAAAACAAGCUUUUUUUUUAAAUAGAGGAAAGAAAAUGCAAAAUUAUUAUAUAUACAUAUAUAUAUAUAUAAUCAACCAGCUAUAUCGAAGACAGCAACUUUUUCCAACAUUAAUGUAGCUGUUGUGACAGCAAUCUUGGUCACAUAGCUGAUUGAUUCCUGAAAACUUUUGCCAAGAGUUUAGUGUUUCUUCAAAGUAGCCAUUGAUACAUUUCAUAAAGUUGUGCUACUGGAAUUAUCUUUGCUGGCACUGGCCACCCUUACCAUGAUGAUACCCACCUACCCAGUUAACCACCAACUCCUGCUCCACUCACACCCUUUAUGCUGCAGCCAAUGCCACCACAACCUUCCCCUCCUCUUCUUCCUCUCCCAAUGAAAUACAACGAUACCAAUACCCCGACCUGUCAAUGAAUGGCUUUGCGGAACAUGUUAACUGAUCUCUGAUUAACCUUAAUUACCAUUCACUGUGACCAGCAACCAAUCCCUUAUAUACUCAUCCUCUAACCACUGUGAUUUGCAGUUGUUCAUUUAUUUAGCCACUAACAACCUGUUGCACACUAACUGGGGGCAGGGGCUCUGUCUACCAUUGUUAGCUACAAGCAAGUUCAUAACAGUUUUAAGGACUGAUCUAGACAAUUUGGUUUAUUUUAAUUUGUUUUGAAAACAAGCUGCAAAUUCCAGCCAAUUGAGAACAAUUAGUAAUGGAAAACAUGCAGUGAAGGCGAUUUAGUUUACUGGACUUAGUUAAGCUUCCCUUCUAGCUUUUGGUUUCUGAUGCUGGCAUGUCUGGGGAUAACAAGAAGUUGCCCUUUAUUUGGAUACCUCUCAAACCACAAGAAUGUGUCUGAAAAAUAUAUAGAUAUAUGUGUUAGGACUGUGUGUGUGUGUAUUUGCUUGAAAGUGUUGAGAUGAGUUAUUCUCUUUCAAACUGUUUUAUAAUAGUUUUUCAACACAAUGCCCAUGUGUGUUAUGAAAUGUCAGUUUAACACAUUUCAAUCUCUCCCUUGUGAAUUCAAGAGUAUUUUACAUUUAUAUAUCUUUUAUACUGUAAUCAACCCUUUAUCUCCUCUUUCUGCCCCUCUCAUUUAAUCUUAUUUUCCUCUAACAAACUUUUUCUUUUCUUUCACCCUUUGAAAAUUCCAAAGCCCAAAUCAAUAAUUACAUCACCGUAAAAACAGCUUAUUUUACCUCUCCAUAAAUUUGAAAGUAAUUGUCCUUUGUGUGUGUGUGUAAAUCUGUAUCUUCAAGCCAAAUAUCAAAUGAAUUGUACAGCCUUGUCAUGCUGAUUCUACUCAAGAAUUAUGUUAAGGGUACAAGAGUCUGUGGAGUGCUCAGCUAAGCCAGAUCCACCCUUUUCCUGCCUCUCUCAUAGCUAGUGCAAUGUUCAUAGUUGCUUGCUCUAGUAUUUAGGAGACCCACUUUGUUUAAUUAUGUUAGUAAUUGAUAUAAAAUGCAGUGAAAUGUCUAUUUGGUUGUGCAGCUAUAGACACACAUAAGAUAGUAAGUUUACACUAAGGUUUUUUUAUAUUAUCAUGCCAAUAUUUUUCAAUGCAUGUCACUGCUUUUGAAUUUUUUUUAUGGUGCAAAUGCUGUGAAAAUGGGUUCCAACCAUGUCAUUGCAGUAUUUCUCUCUCCGAGUUAAAAUAUUCAACUUGUUUCAGUUUGUCAGCAGAAAAAUAUAUUUGUUUAAACAUUUCUUCUUCAUAUCCAAUACCUGCUACCAUGAAGAAAUCAACCAGAAAUAUUACUUUAUUGAAAAAUAAAUCUCAGUGGUUCAUAGGGGUUUGAGAUUCUUUGUUAUAGUAAAGGAAGGGUUCUGUAAUUUUACAGUUUCCAUUGAGUUUCAUUUUAUUUUAAAUAAACCCAUUGUUGAAAUUACUUGAUACCCAAUGCCUCACAAAUUUGCUGUCACUUAGUUAUUGUUUCUCCCAACCAUUUCUUUCAUUCCUCAGACAAUCGCUACACUAAUUCUCCCCUGCCACCAUUAUUAUUAUUAUUAUUAUUGGCAAACUGCAGCUGAUUCCAAGCAAAUAAAUUAAGAAGCUGAUCGGACCCAACAAACUAAUGUCUCCUCAUUCAACUCCCCACCCCUUUGUGUAAGACAGUUUUUAAUCAAUGUAAAUAGUGUAACAUUCUAUUUUCAUUGCAUAUAUUUUUUUUUCUCGUGCCCCUCCCCCCAACCAUGAUAUGUCUGCAUGGCCGUUAAGUGUCAUCAGCUAGGAGCCAAUCUCCACAAUCUGUGUAGAAUUUAUUUAAUGGGAUUCAUGGAAAAUAUAAAAUUUACUUUAGACAUA